UGGCGAACGGGUGAGUAAUGCAUCGGAACGUGCCCGAUCGUGGGGGAUAACGCAGCGAAAGCUGCGCUAAUACCGCAUACGAUCUGAGGAUGAAAGCGGGGGACCUCAUAGCAAUAUGGGGCCUCGUGCGAUCGGAGCGGCCGAUGUCAGAUUAGGUAGUUGGUGAGGUAAAGGCUCACCAAGCCAACGAUCUGUAGCUGGUCUGAGAGGACGACCAGCCACACUGGGACUGAGACACGGCCCAGACUCCUACGGGAGGCAGCAGUGGGGAAUUUUGGACAAUGGGCGAAAGCCUGAUCCAGCAAUGCCGCGUGCAGGAAGAAGGCCUUCGGGUUGUAAACUGCUUUUGUACGGAGCGAAAAGGCUCCCUCUAAUACAGGGGGUCCAUGACGGUACCGUAGGAAUAAGCACCGGCUAACUACGUGCCAGCAGCCGCGGUAAUACGUAGGGUGCAAGCGUUAAUCGGAAUUACUGGGCGUAAAGCGUGCGCAGGCGGUUUUGUAAGACAGGCGUGAAAUCCCCGGGCUCAACCUGGGAAUGGCGCUUGUGACUGCAA
rnacentral:rRNA from 1 species